GAUGAACGCUGGCGGCGUGCCUAAUACAUGCAAGUCGAGCGAACAGACGAGGAGCUUGCUCCUCUGACGUUAGCGGCGGACGGGUGAGUAACACGUGGAUAACCUACCUAUAAGACUGGGAUAACUUCGGGAAACCGGAGCUAAUACCGGAUAAUAUAUUGAACCGCAUGGUUCAAUAGUGAAAGACGGUUUUGCUGUCACUUAUAGAUGGAUCCGCGCCGCAUUAGCUAGUUGGUAAGGUAACGGCUUACCAAGGCGACGAUGCGUAGCCGACCUGAGAGGGUGAUCGGCCACACGGGAACUGAGACACGGUCCAGACUCCUACGGGAGGCAGCAGUAGGGAAUCUUCCGCAAUGGGCGAAAGCUUGACGGAGCAACGCCGCGUGAGUGAUGAAGGUCUUCGGAUCGUAAAACUCUGUUAUUAGGGAAGAACAAAUGUGUAAGUAACUAUGCACGUCUUGACGGUACCUAAUCAGAAAGCCACGGCUAACUACGUG
rnacentral:rRNA from 1 species